rnacentral:rRNA from 1 species
GAUGAACGCUGGCGGCGUGCCUAAUACAUGCAAGUCGAGCGGAAAGGCCUCUUCGGAGGUACUCGAGCGGCGGACGGCUGAGUAACGCGUAGGAACGUACCCAGUCGUGGGGGAUAACUAUCCGAAAGGAUAGCUAAUACCGCAUACGUCCUGAGGGAGAAAGCGGGGGAUCGCAAGACCUCGCGCGAUUGGAGCGGCCGAUAUCGGAUUAGCUAGUUGGUGGGGUAAAGGCUCACCAAGGCGACGAUCCGUAGCGGGUCUGAGAGGACGACCCGCCACACUGGAACUGAGACACGGUCCAGACUCCUACGGGAGGCAGCAGUGGGGAAUUUUGGACAAUGGGGGCAACCCUGAUCCAGCCAUUCCGCGUGAGUGAAGAAGGCCUCGGUUGUAAG